rnacentral:lncRNA from 1 species
GAUCAGUAUCCCGAUCGUUACUAUAAGAUUCAUUUCUGUAACUAUUAAGUAUGCAACCCGGUAUACGUUCACUCGCAUAGAGUGUAAUCUAAACUUGAGCCCAUUAUAAUUAUUUUGGUUGGUAGUAUGGUUAGUGAAUUUUACAUUUAUUCGUUGGCUCAUGGGUAAAUGACAAUUUCCGCCUGUUGACAGGACGGAAAGAAAGUGAAAGUUGAUGGUUACUUGAUCUUCGGUAGCCGUCUGCAAAUGAUGUGAUUUUCCAGCGACCGGUGUCUAGCCAUUUUAUUUUAUUUAGAAAAUAAUUAUUUAGUUGAAAAGGAAUGCAUUUAAGUUGGAAAGAAGUUUAUUUUAUGGUAUAAAUUAUGGUGAGAGUGCUGUUUUAGUUCCAAUAUCGGAGGAUUCUGGACAUUGGGUAAGCGCCAUUUUUUGUUCUUGCCAAGGAAAAAAAAAUAACCAUUUUCUCAUUUUCAAUACCAUACUUACAUUAGGAAAAUUGUUAUUCUGUAACCAUCAGGUCUUAAGUAGUCCCUAUAACUACCAAAUUUAUGUAUUCUACUGAGAAAGAUUCUUUAAAAUUAUAUGUCCAGUUCAAAGUAAUUUCUGACUUAACGACAUUUUCCUUUACUUUUAGUUUACGUCUGUAAAGAAAUCCUUCUUGUAACAUCCAACUUUACAAUCAUAUUUUGCAACAAGUAAUCCUUAACCAUAGUUUAGUUUUUCAAAUGUCUUCACAUGGAAAAAGAAUCAAGGUCAAUCAUACUUCAAUUACACACAUCAGUGAUUCAACUUUUUGUUUCAAGUUUUUUUCUACAAACUUUUUAUAAAUACCUUCCUACAUACCGUGUUUCAUGUUACUCAAAAGAAGUAAUAUGACUGAAAGAUUUUUGUUUUCUUUUAGUCGCUGGAGAAUAGAAGAUUUAGUCAACAGAAAUAAGAAUAAUUUUUGGGAAAGAGUGGGAAAUUUUGGGACAUAUUUGGAAGUUUUGAUUUUAUUGGAAUCUUGGUUUUUAUGGAAUUUAUUUUUUGGAAUUCGCCGGUACUGAGAGGUAUCUCCAGUUGGUAACAAGGAUACACCUCCCUCCUAGGUUGAGGAACACCGCAAGCUACCUUCCUUGGGCCUCUGAUCAUUCCCUGGAAGAAGUUGGAGAACCCAUGGUCACUUGGUAGACCGGACAGGUUUUUAUAAGUCAAUUUGAUUGUAAUUUGUUUUAAUAAUAUUUGCACUUUUACCUAUUUUUUUUUUUUGUAUCAAUAACUUAAUAAUCCUAAUAAUAGUAUACCUUCAUUUUCUUAAACAUAAUUAAACUAAACAAUAAUUUUUCAAAAAUUUUAUAUUUCAAGGUUAGCUCAUUUAUUUUAAAAUAGUAGGGGGGAUUAUAAACUAUCUGUAAAGAUAGUGUGCACAUUAUCUCAGUUUGAAUCCUUAUCGAAACUUUGAUUUCAUUGUCAGGUAUUAUACUUACGUUUAUCACCUCCGAACAGAUACGAUAUUGUCAGCCAAUAUUGGCUUCUUCAUUAACAACAAAUUUGUACAUACAUUUUUACAUUAAUUAACUUUCACAUAUAAACCAUUCUUUUCAUAUUUUUCACAUAUUGUAAAAACCUGUGUUAUCAACAUGAGUGUCAUAGCUUAGUACGUCCGGUUUAGCUAGUGUAUAAAAAUUGUAUAUAGGGGUUAUAGGUUUGUUUCAUUAAAUUUGUUAGUUGUACCUAAA